rnacentral:misc_RNA from 1 species
UGACAUUUCAAUUUGUAAUUUGAUUUACACUAAAAUGCUGGAGUGAAAUGCAAUUCCUUUUGAAAUUUUUUUUUCUUUAAAAUCAAAGUGCUUAGUAGUGGAGACAUUAAUAAAUCAGCAUCGUUAUGUUUCUGAAUGUUUCACACUGUGUUCUUACCAUCUUUUCAAUUUAUACCAAUUAUCCAGUUCUCCACAGUAUCAUAAAUCCUUCAUUUUUGUUGCAAUUCAAUGUUUGGCA